rnacentral:lncRNA from 1 species
GCAUAUGCUCGCGUCUUGGUGUGAAGGAGCUCUCGCCUGUGUUUCUUGCUAUACCCAUCUAAAUUCUGGAGUGAGGAAUUAAAUUAUUCCAGAAACCCUGCCAGUUUUUGAUUUGCCAUUGUCUCUGGUUCUUCGUUGCCUUUGAAUGGGACCCUUGAUCCGAGGCUUUCAUAGACCAGCCGGUGCUGAUGGGGUCCGGGACUUGACGAUGGCGCCUGCUCGUUCCUGUUGUGUUCUAUCUGAGGCAUGAUUUUCUUUCCUUCUUGGGAGGUAGAGAGCACGGGGCAGAGGUUGCACCUGACACAUUAGAACUCCGUUGUCACUGCUGUGGCUGUUAUUCCCCUCGGCAAGAGCCAAGGAGCAAACAGGACGUGAAGAUCCUGGUGUUACACAUCCAAUUGUUCACCUCCUUCCAAGACUAUGACAUUCCAGGAAACCUUCAGUGCUAAGAGGAACUGAUAUCUAGAGUAUCUCCUCGAGGAAGUACAACCGCAUUAUAAAUUAAGGAGGAAAAGUAACAAAGAGCUUGAAGACAUGCACAGCUCACAGGCCCCGGGUGGAGGCUGGCGGCAUCAGACAGACAGAACCAAGACAUCUGAGGGGCAACCAGGAGGUGCGUGUGGCUGCAGAGCACACAGCCACCAUCAAAUGUUCUUUUCCCCGACCUCGGCUACAGUUUUAUAUUUCUCAAACAUGCAGAUAAUGAUUGAUGGUGUCUGCCUGGCUACCUAGAUGAGUGAUUUUUCUGUGUCCUGGAUGCUGCUGCCGGAGCAAAUGUCAAAUGUCACACCGUGUCUCAGGCACAUGAUCAGACUAAAUAUGCUGGGAAGAAGCAAAUAAGAGGCUCUGUUAAUCAGUUAAUCAUCCCAUCACUAUAUUCCUUGCCUGAAAUGUGUGUGUGUGUGUUUUUUUUUUUUUUUUUUUUUUUUGGUCUGGGUCAUUUGUUUCUUAGUUCAUUGAAAUGUCUUGAAUGGAAAAUUGGGUUCUGCACACUGGGUCUGGCUGGUUGAGUCUGGCUGUGAAGACU